ensembl:lncRNA
GGGAGGGGGGGUAGACUGGGGGAGGAAAGGAAGGCAGAGCCGAAAAGAAAAGUUUCAUGAUAUUACUCGCACUCGACGUGGAAAUGAGCCUGGCGAGACCAGUGCUUUAUUGGGUGUCUGGACCGUCUUUUGUUCCUCAAAUGUGAUAUUUUCAGCAGUUGAUCUGAACAGAGCAGGACCGGAAUCGAGGGGCAGAGAGGAGAGAAAGCGAUCGGAUUCAGCCGUGGCAUAUCUGAAGCAGUAUUCACCACUGAAGGCAGCAGUUUCAUCCCAGCCUGCCCUCUGUCUCCUGUCAUGAGGC